rnacentral:lncRNA from 1 species
UAAAUUCAUACAUACUGUAAUACAGUAAGUCAGAGUAUGUAAUUUAAUUUACAAUACAAAAGGGCCCCCGAAUAAACAAAAGUAAAAAGGACUGUGAACCUACAAUUUGGAAAAUGCAAAUCUAACGGUAGUCCUCGAUGAGAUCAGCUAUCUACAGUCUAUACUGAACUUGAAAUGGAUGGAAAUGAGGGUGGUGAGAUUAUAAAAUCCCAAUGAGUAAAUAGACAUCAUCAUAAACAUCUAGAGUUAAGUACAUGGAGAUAAUAAAGUAAAUCAUCGUAAACUGGGUCACAGCAUUAAAAUACAUUUCAUUUAAAAUACGUGAAAAGGCUUAUGAAUAUCAUAAAAACUAAGCUUGUGCCAUAAAUCCAUUCUCAGGGACACCUUGGCCGAGGCAUCCUACCGAGACCGCCAAGGCUGUUAAAAUUCACAAUUCGCAUAAAUCAUGUUUUUAUUUUGAAAACAUAGCCGUUCCUUGACGUUGGCUGAGUUCCCCUUCACGUGGUGGUUUAGCGUGAAGUGAACCCUAAGCUUUACCCCAAGAGAUACCCUAUGCGCCUCUCCAUUUGAAGUAAAAAUAUAAUGGGGUUUAUUGUGCCCCUCUAAAAGGCUAGUCCACAGAAACCCCCUACUGUAGUGAUUAAUUAAUAUAUAAUCCACCAUAUAAUAAAGUUUUGACAGCAUGACAGGGCUAAUGAAAUACUACCCAGCUUGCAAGGGUAAAAUAAAACAAUUCAUACAAUUCAUAAAACACAGCCCAGCCAGUCAUGCCAACACAAUAAUAAUAUAACAUAAGCCAUCAAUUUAAACAAUCAAAUUGCCACAAUUAACAGUCUCCGUGUACUUUAUUUUUUUCAAAAUCAUUAUUAGUUUCAAAACAAUUUAUAAUUUAAUUUCAUUGAAACACCUUUAUUUAUAAAACAUGAAAAUUUACCUUUUAAAUCCUUUUUUUCAUACAAUUCAUGAAAUCAUCUAAAAACCACCCUAGAUAAUUAAAAUGACGGUAAGUUUACUCACAAUGUUUAGAAUGCAGACUUUCGAAGUACUCUGUCUACUAGUCCUCGGAUGCAAUUUCCUUGCCUUUAUCGGAGGACUCACCACCUUGACACAGUACAAAAUUGAGAAACUCACCACAUUGAUACUAAAUUGAAAUUAAACUAAUUUAGGCUACUAAUGCAUGAUAUGGAAUGCAAAAAUGUCCGAAUAGCCGUUUAAAUAUGGUGUUCAACCUAAUUCGCACUAUUCUCGGUCUAAUCGGCUAUAAUCUUCAAUUAAACUCCAAAUUAAUUCUUUUCACUUUCUACACUCCAAUUAUACCUAAAUCACGUUAGUGACUGUGAAUGAGGUUCAAUUUAUCGAUCCCGGGUCAAUAAUUACACAUGUCUAUAUGUUGAGUAAAAAUUUGUAUUUUCGCACCAAAAUUUCCCAUUUAAUUUAUAGCCUCACCAAACAUCAAAUAUCACCAAAAUAUCAUGAAAUAUCAUCAAAUUCAGCCACAAUAUUCUCCCUAGGAAAUUUGGCCAAUGAUGGUAAUGGGGGAAAAUGAAUUCUUUUCUUGUUGUUUUGUUUCUAAAUAUGCAAAACUAACUUAAAACACUAAGAUAACUGAAAAUCAGAUCAAUCUAACUUCAUUGUCUCUCCAUACCCAUUUGGGCAGCCAUGAAUUCACCAUGAAAACAUGAAAUCUAACCAUGGAAAAUCAGGAGAAAAACAUGCGAAAGGUAGAUCACAAGUCAAAAUCAAGAAAUUUUACCUUUGAUUGCUUGAUUCCUUGAAAUCCCACACUUUUUCUUUAAUUUUCCCACAUAGGUUUCUUGUUUUUCUUUUCCUCUCUUUGUUCUUGCUAUGGCCG